UACGGGGGGGGCAAGCGUUGUUCGGAAUUACUGGGCGUAAAGGGCUCGUAGGCGGCCAACUAAGUCGGAUGUGAAAUCCCCAGGCUUAACCUGGGAACUGCAUCCGAUACUGAAUGGCUUGAAUUCGGGAGAGGGAUGCAGAAUUCCAGGUGUAGCGGUGAAAUGCGUAGAUAUCUGGAGGAAUACCGGUGGCGAAGGCGGCAUCCUGGACCGACAUUGACGCUGAGGAGCGAAAGCUAGGGGAGCAAACGGG
rnacentral:rRNA from 1 species